AUGUUUCAAAAACGUUUUGGCAACCUGAUAAACCUCAAAUAUUUAGCCUUGUUUCAAAACCAAAUUUCGGGAUCAAUACCAAAAACUUUUGGCAAGUUGCAAAGCAUCCAAAACAUGUUAAUGUUUAGCAACAAAUUAUCAGGUUCUCUUCCUCAAGAAUUUGGAAAUCUCGUAAGCCUUGUUCACCUUGAGGUGGCAAACAACUCACUUUCAGGACAUUUACCUGCAAAUAUAUGUUCAAGUGGAGGACUAAAAUCUCUCGCUAUCGCUUCUAAUAUGUUCAAUGGCCCAAUUCCAAGGAGUUUAAAGACAUGUACAAGUUUGGUUAAAAUUGACCUUCAGUCGAACAAACUAACAGGAGAUAUAUCUCAUCAUUUUGGUGUGUAUCCACAACUCAUAUGGAUGGGCUUGUCAACGAAUAGACUCUCUGGGCAGAUCUCAUCAAGUCUAUGUGCAUGUACCCAACUAACGAUACUACAUCUAGGAAAUAAUAUGAUCACAGGUUCCAUACCUCCAAUCCUUUCUAAAUUGUCCAACCUAGUAGCACUAACACUCAAUUCUAAUCAUCUCAGCGGCGAGAUUCCUCCAGAAAUCUGUACUUUAGCAAAUCUAUAUAGCCUCAACUUAUCAUCGAACCAGUUAUUUGGAUCCAUACCUACACAGAUAGAAAAGCUAAGCAAUAUAGGAUACCUUAAUAUAUCUGGGAACAGACUAAGUGGAUCAAUACCUGAGGAACUAGGGGCAUGCAAGAAACUACAGUCCUUGAAGAUCGGCAACAACCAAUUCAACGGGAGUUUGCCUGGUGUGGUUGGAAAUUUAGCAGGCCUGCAAAUCAUGUUAGAUGUGAGCAACAAUAACCUCAGUGGUGUUUUGCCGCAGCAACUUGGGAAGUUGGAGAUGCUGGAAUCUCUCAAUUUAUCACAUAAUCAGUUCAGUGGAAGCAUUCCAUCCUCCAUUGCAAACAUGCUGAGCCUUUCAACACUUGAUGUGUCCUACAAUGACUUGGAAGGACCAGUCCCAACAGCACGGCUACUCCAAAAUGCUUCAGCAAGUUGGUUUCUUCCCAAUAAAGGUCUCUGUGGUAACCUCUCUGGCUUGCCACCUUGUUAUUCAACCCAAGUAGCUGCUCACCAAAAAGGGAAGAUACUUGGUUUGCUUUUGUCCAUUGCUCUUGUGAUGGGUUUCGGCAUUGUUGCUGCAAUUGUUGUCAUAAUAAUACUUACUCGUAAGAAGAGAAAUCCACAAGAAAGUGUUACCUCUGAAGCAAGGGACCUAUUCUCUGUUCGGAAUUUUGACGGAAGACUGGUAUUUGACGAUAUUGUAAGGGCAACAGAAGACUUUGAUGAUAAGUACAACAUUGGAACCGGAGGAUACGGCAAAGUCUACAAGGCACAACUCCAAGACGGGCAGCUGGUUGCUGUGAAGAAGCUUCAUCAGACCGAAGAAGAGUUGGAUGAUGAAAGAAGAUUUCGCAGUGAAAUGGAAAUCUUAACACAGAUCCGACAACGAAGCAUUGUCAAAAUGUAUGGAUUCUGCUCCCAUCCAGCAUAUAAAUUUCUCGUCUACGACUACAUUCAGUAGGGAAGCCUCCAUGGAAUAUUGGAAAAUGAGGAGCUAUCGAAGGAAUUAGAUUGGAAGAAGAGAAUUGCCCUGGCAACUGAUGUGGCUCAAGCAAUAUCUUAUUUGCACGAUGAAUGCAGUCCACCUAUAAUCCAUCGAGAUAUCACAAGCAACAACAUCUUACUUGAUACAUCCUUCAAGGCUUUUGUCUCGGAUUUCGGCACGGCAAGGAUUCUUAAGCCCGAUUCGUCAAACUGGAGUGCACUAGCAGGAACCUUUGGCUACAUAGCUCCUGAACUGUCGUACACAUCUGUUGCGACAGAGAAAUGUGAUGUCUAUAGCUUUGGGGUGGUUGUGUUAGAGCUAGUGAUGGGCAAGCAUCCAAGGAAUCUAUUAGAUGGUAGUCUUUCUAACGGCGAACAAUCAAUGAUGGUGAAAGAUAUUCUGGACCAACGGCCGACAACACCAAUAACAACAGAAGAGAAUAACUUAGCUCUGCUCAUCAAGUUGGCCUUAUCUUGUUUGGAAUCUUCUCCCCAAGCAAGGCCAACCAUGCAGGAGGUAUACCAAACACUCAUCCAGCGACCAUCUUCUAGUUCUUGUUCUGUGCCUUUCAGCGCGCUUAUAUUACAGCAAGGGAUGCAUGCUGAUAUAAGGUCUGAAUCCUAGUGAGAAACCAGGGUCUGUCAAAGCAGAGGCCGAUUCAGAUUUCCGAUUUUUUAUUCAAGUCACUCAUACACCACCUAUAUAUAUACCUCUUGUAUGCCAUGCCAUGCCACACAGGAUGAGUUGACGACUCAUUGUAAGUCUAUGUAUUUGUAGAUUCUCCUGAUACAGCAAAAGAUCACCGUUGUGUGCCCGUGGUUUUUCCCGCAAGGGUUUUCCACGUAAAAAUGUGUGUCCAGUCCCGUGUUCUUGAUAUUUCUGUUUGCUUGCUGAUUUCAUAAAUAUAAUUUGGUUUGCGGGUUGCUUAUAUUUGUUAAAGACUGUAGUAUCCACAUGUGACACUUUCUUUCGGCUGUUGUCUGUAGGGUACUUAAAUGUGUCCUAAUAUUUGUCUCUUUUAUCUACUAUUGCUUGCAUAUAACCUAAUAAAGAUUGAAAAAAAUGAAAUCCAAAACUCGCGCAGUACCAUGUUGUCCUGCUUUAUUUAUUCCAUAUGGGAAUCAAGAUCAAAUAUCUUGGACCAAGCAGGAAUAAUCACAAUGCAUAAACGGAACGAAAUGAAUGUAAGCACAUUGGAGAUAUAUAGGUGCAUAAAAAAAGAGAAGUACCACAAUAUACUAAGUAAAAGGACUUACAGAGGAUUGUAGGGCAGGAGUAUGUAGUCCUUUUCCUUAUUAUUGCUCCCAUGAACCUGAAGGUGAAAAAAUGGAAUCCAAAACUGACACGUUAUCAUGUCAUCCUGCUUUAUUGUUCUCUGGGUAUCAAAGUAAAAUACCUUGUGCCAAGCAGGAAUAAUCACAAUGAUCAAGUGUUCGAUGCGUAAACGGAACAAAUGAAUGUGAACAAACGGAUAUAGGUGCAUAAAACAAGAAAAGUACAACAGUACUAGGUAAAAAAGCUUACGGAGGAUUGUAGGGCACACAUAUGUAUCCUUGUCCUUAGGAUGGAGGAUGUGUAGUCCUUGUCCUUAGGAUCGAGCAAUAGAUAAUUUACUACUUCACUUAAUUUCAAGCACUUGUAACGAGAUUUUCAUGGAACAAAGAUACAACCUUCUUUUUCUUGAUGCCUAAUACAAACUUAACCAAGGAUGAGAUCAGAUGAUAGGAAAA
rnacentral:rRNA from 1 species